rnacentral:hammerhead_ribozyme from 1 species
AUCCAAGCUGACGAGUCCCAAAUAGAAGGAAACGUACAUCCUGGAU